rnacentral:rRNA from 1 species
AUUGAACGCUGGCGGCAUGCUUUACACAUGCAAGUCGAACGGUAACAGGCCGCAAGGUGCUGACGAGUGGCGAACGGGUGAGUAAUGCAUCGGAACGUGCCCAGUCGUGGGGGAUAACGCAGCGAAAGCUGUGCUAAUACCGCAUACGAUCUAUGGAUGAAAGCGGGGGACCGUAGGCCUCGCGCGAUUGGAGCGGCCGAUGUCAGAUUAGGUAGUUGGUGGGGUAAAGGCCCACCAAGCCAACGAUCUGUAGCUGGUCUGAGAGGACGACCAGCCACACUGGGACGGAGACACGGCCCAGACUCCUACGGGAGGCAGAGGUGGGGAAUUUUGGACAAUGGGAGCAAGCCUGAUCCAGCAAUGCCGCGUGCAGGAAGAAGGCCUUCGGGUUGUAAACUGCUUUUGUACGGAACGAAACGGUCUGGGUUAAUACCCUGGGCUAAUGACGGUACCGUAAGAAUAAGCACCGGCUAACUACGUGCCAGCAGCCGCCGUAACAC